AAUAUAUAACAUAUAAUUUAGGCUAAAUUACAUAAACCCCCCUCUCCCGUCAAAACCCGAUUUUUUACUUUUCCUCCCUAUCAUUUAAAAACAUACACUUUGCCCUCUUGUAAAAUGAAAAAUGUUCACAGGGGGGGUAUGGUGUGUACUGUGAUGAUAAAAUGACCAUUUUGCCCCUCACCAUUUUCGUCUCCUCUCUCAUCUUCCUCAACAGCAGCCUCGAUCAGCCGCGGCUUACGCCUUAAUCAGCUGCGAUUUCUCUUCAUUUUCUUCUCCACCUACUCCCCUCUCCUCCUGCACCCUCGCCACCCCUCGAUUUCGGCGAGGUGGAAAUCGAGGUGGGGGUGGAUGGAGAGGUGGGUAACAGCAACGAGGGCGAAGGCGAGGCGGUGGAGGAAGGCGAAGGGGUGUUUGUGGGCGCGGACGGGGAUUUGGGCGAGGGCAAGGCAGUGGAAGAGGGCGAGGCGGCGAGGCGGCGAAGCAACAGGAAAGAGACGGAGGGGUAUUUUUGGUAUAAAAAAAUAUUUUAUAACGGA
rnacentral:lncRNA from 1 species